ACCCGGCGGCCGUGGUCCCUGCGCGCGGCACGAGGCAUGGUAUCUCCCAGAAUAUCCUGUGAAUGUUCGCAUUAGUCUGCUCAUCAGAUUGCUUUCCAACCAAAAAAUACUGUGUUCUACAAAGGAGGAGCAUCUUUAUCUCAAAGCAGCAGUUCUUAUCGCCAAGUAUUCAGCAUCUCUUUGGAAUUCAUUUGUCAGCCUCUCUGGUUCCGGGAGCUGUAUUUGCCUAUCUUAGUUUGCUGAGUGCAGCGAAGAAUCUAGAACAGUGGUUCUCACACCAGCAUCAUUUGCAUCCAGUGUGAGCUUCUUUGAAAUGCAAAUUUGAAGGCCUCACCCCAAACUACUGAAUCAGAAUCUCUGGUGUUGGGGCCCCAGGAGACUACUUAAGCAAGCUCUCCUGGGGAUGCCUGUGCCCCCCCAGAGUUUGAGAAUGAUUGCUCCAGAAGAAUACCUAUACAGGGCUGCACUGAAGCCCGGGGGUAAAAAGAAAACAGAGGUUAACUUGCUUCGAGAUAUCCUGCUGACAAGAUAUGACUUGGUCUCUCCGACAUAUGUGACUCCCAACCCAACUAGUUCCUAGCUUGCUGUUUCUAAAGGACCCCAAAUGUAGACUUUUGCCCCUUUUGAAGUCAAGAUCAGAAGUUCUCAGGAUUUUAAAAUGUCAGGCUUCCCUAUUGCCCCCAAAUUGUUCAAAGUCCUUUGAUAGUAGGCAUACUUUUAUGUGCAUACUGUUUAUAUAUUUGAGGAAAUAUAUAAUGAACAAAGUCUAUUAAUUUAAAAAAUUACAAAUUCAUUUAAAAGAAUUAUGAAAUUAAGUAGCAAAGUGUAUUUUUAAAUAAUAGUACAUAUAUGUAUGAGAUACUCAUUUUACAGAUAAUGCUUGGUGGAUUACAUAUUUGGAUUCAUAGCAAUGUCUUCAACUUACUCCUUGGCCCCUUCAAUCCCUGUUUGGGAACCACUGCUCUAGACCAAAGGAAAUGAAGCAUAGCGAGAGUUUGGAGUCCCUUCUUUCACUGGAACAAGGCCUGCCUUCUGCACUUUAGUAUACUGUUUAAGAGGCUCUCUCCCCUCAAUGUAUAAUUUAUACCCCUUUCAGAGAAAACUCUACUUACUACCCAUAGCCCCUCCUGUGGUUUGAAUAAUGGUGUCCCCUCCAAAAUUCACGUUGAAACUUUAUCCUCAUGGUGGCAGUAUUAAGAGGUUGGCAUUUGGGGAAGUGAUUAAGUUAUGAGGGUUCUGCUCUCAUGAAUUUGAUUAGUGCCUCAUAAAAGGACUGGAGGGAAUUAGCUUGGGCCGUUUUUGCCCUUCUGUCCUGCCAUGUGAAGGCCCCUAGGUGGCACCAUGAGGAAUGGGCCUUCAGCAGACACCAAACCUGCUGGUGCCUUGACCUUGGACUUCUCAGCCUUCAGAACUGUGAGAAAUAAAUUUCUGUUAUUUGCAAAUGACACAGUUGCAGCUAUUUCAUUAUAGCAGCACAAACAGACUACCCUUAUAGCUAGAACUUCAGAGGCACAAGCAUAUCAAAAUACAGCCUAAAAGCCUGGUGUCUACAAGAGCUGUACAUUUAUAGAGCUGGGCAGACAUUUGUUAUACAAAUUCAGAUUGUACAGAUUACAGUGAGAAUGAACUUCAGUUAAAUAUAUGUAGUUUUUAAUAAACUUUUAAUUGAAAUAUACACAAAAAUGCACACAAAUCACAAGUGCAUAGCUCAGGGAGUUUUUACAGAGUGAACAUAGCUGUCUAUCAAUACUCAGGCCAAGAACAGGAAAUUUAUCUCUCCUCCAGAAAGCCCCUGGAGCGCCAUCCUAAAUCCUCCCCCUUGAGUAACCAGCCCCAAGCCCUCUAACACCGUAGAUUAGUUUUGCCUUUUUUGAACUUUGUUUAAUUAUAUAAUAUGUGCUUUUUAAUGUCUGACUGCUUUUGCUCAAGUUAGUGAGAGUCAUCCACGUUGUAGGAAUAGUUUGUUCAUUCUUGCUGCUAAAUAGCAUAUGAUUGUUUGAGUCUACUACCAUUUAUUUGUUCUGAAUUUGGUUGUUUCCAGUUUGGCCUUCUCAUGAAGAGAACCAUUAAGGACAUGUUUGUCCUUGUCUUUUGGUAGACAUACACUCAUUUCUUGUGGGCAUAUGUCUAGGAGUGGGAUUGCUGGAUUGCAGUGUAUCUAUAUGUUCAUCAUACACUGCUGAACAGUUUUCUGAGUGAUUGCACCCGCACUUGAGCUUGGACACAGGAUAAGGAUGGCCACUAUCAUCACUUCUGUUCUAUACUGUAUAGUUAUAGCAACAAGUGAGGAAAAUUAAGAAGUGGUAUAAUGAUUGGAAAGGAUGAAACAAAGUUGAUAUUAUAGCCAAUAUAUUGUACACAUAGAAAAUCCAAAGUAAUCUACAGGUCAACUAUUAGAUUAAUAAGUGAAUUUAGGCUAGGUGCAGUGGCUCACACCUGUAAUCCGAGCACUUUGGGAAGUCAAAGUGGGAGGAUCACUUGAGGCCAGUAGCUGGAGUGCAGCGGUGCAAUCUCAGCUCAUUGCAACCUCUGCCUCCUGGGUUCACGCCAUUCUCCCGCCUCAGCCUCCCAAGUAGUUGGGAAUACAGGUGCCCGCCACCACGCCUGGCUAAUUUUUUAGUAGAGAUGGGGUUUCACCGUGUUAGCCAGUAUAGUCUUGAUCUCCUGACCUCGUGAUCCGCCCACCUUGGCCUCCCAAAGUGCUGGGAUUACAGGUGUGAGCCACUGCGCCCGGCAGAAAAAGCAGUUGUAUUUCUACAUAGCAACAGCAACUAGAAAAUUUUUAAACAUUGGAAUAUAAACUAUUCCGAAAAAUUCUUAACAAAAGAUUAGCAAAACCUCUAGUCUGAAAACCACAACAUAUCACUCAGAGGAAUGAAAGAAGAGCUAAAUAAAUGGAAGGAUAUACGAUGUAAUGUCUUGGAAACUUUAGUAUUGUAAAGUUGCCAGUGCUUCUCAAAGUCAUGUAUGAAUUCAGUGCAAUCUCAAUCAAAAUCUCACCAUAUUUUUGUAGUGGAAAUUGACAAGCUGAUGCUACCAUUUACAAAUAAAAAUGCAAGGGGCCAAGAAUAGCCAAAAUAAUCUUAAGGAAGAAGAAAAUGGAAGUUUUACCUCACCAGAUAAUAAGAUUUACUCUAAAGCUACGAUAAUUAAAACAGCGUGUUCUUAGUGUGAAGAUAGACAAAUAGAAGAAUGGAACAGAAUAGAGUCUAAAGAAGAACUCAAGGGCCAAAAGUAGCCAAGAAGAACAGAUCUGGAAGACAUUAUCCCUCCAGAUAUCAAGAUCUCUUAUAAAGAUAUGUGGUAUCGACGCAAGGAAAGGCAAGCUGACCAAGGCAAGCUGACCAGUGGAACUAAACAAAGUCCAGAAACAGGUUCACACAUAUAGUCAUCCGGUGUGUAUCUUUGUGUGUGUGUAUUUCACAAAGGCUUAAAGUAAUGUGUCUUCAAUAAAUGGUGCUACAUCCAAAAGAGCAUAACUAUAUGUUUCCAUUUUAUAUGAAGUUCAAAAAUAGACAACAGAAUAGUGAUUACCUCUGGAGGCAGCUGGGGGCUGCCUCUGGUAGGGUGGGGGUGUUGCCUGGGAAGAAGCAUGAGAGAAUCUUCAGGGGUCCUGGAAAUAUUCCAUAUCUUGAUUUGGUUGGUGGUACACUGUUGUGUAUAAUAUACACGUAUUUGUACAUGUGUGUAUAAAAUGUCAUUGAGCUCCACAUUUAAGAUUUUUUGGACUUUAUUAUAUGUAUGCUAACCUCAAUAAAACUAAAAAAUUCCUCACUCGAGUGAAAACUUUUUUAAUUUAAAUAAAAAUAAACGGUAUUUCAUUUAGAAAUGGAAACCAGGCACAUUAUCUUACACAGUAUUUCAUAAACUACCAUCACCUAGUGAAUAUAGCAAAAGACUGUAUAUGGCUUCAAAGCCACAUAAUGCACCUAAAUUCUCUAAAAUUGCCAGCAAUUACAAAGUGAUAGAUAUGAGCCACAUAGGAUCAAGAUGGGGAUUCACUCAUUCCAUAUUUUGGAGCCACAAAGUAUAUCUGCUGCCUAGGUUUGGACCAAAUGCAAUUAAUGUAUCAAACAAAAAAUCCUAAUAUUUAUUCAGCUUCAUCCACAGCCUCCAAAAAUGGUUUUAGUAAAAGACCAAAUAAAUUACGGUUUUUAAAAAAACUUUCGGGGCUGGGCGCGGUGGCUCACGCCUGUAAUCCCAGCACUUUGGGAGGCCGAGACGGGCGGAUCACGAGGUCAGGAGAUCGAGACCAUCCUGGCUAACACGGUGAAACCCCGUCUCUACUAAA
rnacentral:lncRNA from 1 species